UGUCAAGGGAUGGGAAUCGAACCCACGACCUUCCGCUUACCGGCCAGAUGCCAUGACCACUAGGCUACCCUGGAC